AUGAACGCUGGCGGCGUGCCUAAUACAUGCAAGUCGAGCGAACAGAUAAGGAGCUUGCUCCUUUGACGUUAGCGGCGGACGGGUGAGUAACACGUGGGUAACCUACCUAUAAGACUGGGAUAACUUCGGGAAACCGGAGCUAAUACCGGAUAACAUUUGGAACCGCAUGGUUCUAAAGUGAAAGAUGGUUUUGCUAUCACUUAUAGAUGGACCCGCGCCGUAUUAGCUAGUUGGUAAGGUAACGGCUUACCAAGGCGACGAUACGUAGCCGACCUGAGAGGGUGAUCGGCCACACUGGAACUGAGACACGGUCCAGACUCCUACGGGAGGCAGCAGUAGGGAAUCUUCCGCAAUGGGCGAAAGCCUGACGGAGCAACGCCGCGUGAGUGAUGAGGGGUUUCGGCUCGUAAAACUCUGUUAUUAGGGAAGAACAAAUGUGUAAGUAACUGUGCACGUCUUGACGGUACCUAAUCAGAAAGCCACGGCUAACUACGUG
rnacentral:rRNA from 1 species